rnacentral:lncRNA from 10 species
CAUGUUUGACAUUAAGCAAAAUAGUUUUUAAUAAUCAUAUUUUAUUUUUAUUUUAUUAUUUUAAUUGCAUCUAGGCCAUGAGUCUUACAUGAAAACAAUCUUAUUUGGAAAUUCUUCACAUCAUAUUAUGUUGAAUUAAAAGCAAAAUGUCAACUUUCCCACCUUAAUAUUUCAUGAAAAAGAAAAACAGCAAAAUCAUGUAAGUCACAUUUCAAGUACUUGUCAGACACAUCCACACUCAUACACAAACAAGGUUUGUUUUUUCUAGUACCAAUCCAGCCAUAAUAAAGAACACAAGCAGUAAGAAUAAAACAGGAAUGUGAACAAGGGACACUAUAUGAAGCAUUGGAAAAACACAUUGUGUUCUCAUUAAUCAAACUUCAAACCCACAGAUUUUACAAGAAUAAUUUAAGAAGAUGCUGCCUCAGUUCUCAGGCUAUCAAAAACUUCAAACUAAAAGACUUUUUAAAAUUAUUACUAAGGGCUGGGCAUGGUGGCUCAUGCCUGUAAUCCCAACACUGGGAGAUCAAAGCAAGUGGAUCACUGGAGCCUAGAAGUUCAAGACCAGCCUGGGCAACAUGGCAAAAAAACAUCUCUACCAAGAAAUAGCUGGGUGUGGUGGUGCACAUCUGUGGUCCCAGCUACUCAGGAAGCUGAGGUGGGAGGAUCACUAGAGCCCAGGGAGGUUGAGGCUGCAGUGAACCAUGAUCACACCCCUGUACUCCAGCCAGCACAACAGAGUGAAACCCUGUCUCAAAAAAAUAAAAUAAUAUUAUUACUGUUACACACGUCUGUGUGAAGAGACGGCCAAACAGGCUUUGUGUGAGCAAUAAAGCUUUUUGAUUCCCUGGGUGCAGGCAGACUGAGUCUGAAAAAGGAGUCAGCAAAGGGAGAUGGGGUGGGCCAGUUUUAUAGGAUUUGGGUAGGUAGUGGAAAAUUACAGUUAAAGGGGUUUUCUCUUGAGGGUAGGGGUGGGGGUCACAAGGUGCUCGGUGGGGAGCUCCUGAGACUCAUUGUCCAGGAGAAGGAAUGUCACAAGCUCAAUUGAUCAGUUAGGGUGGGACAGGAACAAAUCACAGUGGUAGAAUGUCAUCAGUUAAGGCAGGAAUUGACUAUUUCACUUCUUUUGUGGUUCUUCAGUUGCUUCAGGUCAUCUGGAUGUAUCCGUGCAGGUCACAGGGGUUAUGAUGGCUUAGCUUAGGCUCAGAGGCCUGACAAUUACUAUAGACUGAAAAACACUUUCAGAUGUUGAAGAAAAGUUUGUAAGAUUUUUCCAAGCCUAUCAAUCCUAGAUACAAAGUUCUUUUUAGAAAAUUUGUCACUGAGUUAUAUUUUAUUGGUGCUAACAAGUAUUUCACUUCAGUCUUUUGUACAUCAGACACUUGUAUAGCAAGGCAGGUUUGUGAUAAAUUCUUCUUGAUCUUCUUCACUUGUGUAUGGGCAUUGGAGGAGCUUUCCCCUUGCCCUCAGAGGGUUUGCUGUAAUUCCAGCUACUUGGAAGGCUGAGGCAGAGAAUUGCUUGAACCUGGGAGGCGGAAGUUGCAGUGAGCCAAGAUCACACCACUGCACUCCAGCCUGGGUGACAGAGUGAGACUCUGUCUCAAAAAAAAAAAAAAAAUCCUAAGUUAGUGGCUCUGGAGAGAGAAGUUGGUUUAGUAGCUGGGUAGUAAGAGAUCUUGACCUUCAAGAGGUGCAGAUCAGUCUCUACUUGCCCUGAGCGGUUUAUGUAGAAACAGCAUUUGUCACCAAUAGCUGCACAAGCUCCUCCCUGUUGGGCUGUCAGCACAUUCAGGCUGCAGCAGUUCUAAAGUACAGCAGAAGCUGGACUGUUGACUUCUGACUGGAGUGCUCCCAAGGCUUGGGUAGUGAUACUGAAGUCUUGUUCUAUUGCCAUGGAAAGAUUUUAAACUGCCCUUUCAUUUUCUUAAGUUCCAAAUGCCAGGGGAAAAGUUCUGAGGACUGAAAAGAACAUAGAUUUGUGAUAUAUAGGUGGGUUUUUUACAAAGUCACAUUCAUUACCUCUGUGUGGCACCACUUUAUGAACAAAAAGGCCCAUUUGUAAUUUGGCUGCCAUUUAAAGUGGAGUACCUAGUAACAGAGGAUGUCAGAUAACUGAGUCCACAGCACCCUGAGUAUCUAGGUGGGAACCACUUGUAUAUCUUGUUACCACGCAAUAUUAAAAGGCCGCUGUUAUUUACAGAUAGGGUCAGGGUGAAGCCUGUGGCGCCUCAGCCUGAAGUUUGCUGUGCCUUGUCUUCUUUGUUAUUGGCAUUUCCACAUCUGCAGCUAUCAUGUCUCCCUGUCAAUCUGUGGGAGCAAAACAGGUUGUGAAAUAUUUUAUAUAAAAGACCUUUAGUUUUGGCUGUUAUAGGGCUUGGUUUUGUCACCUAGCCAAAUCAGUCCAGACUUUGGGUCUAUCCAUAUGUAAUCUUUAGUAUCUGACAGGUAAGCUACCCCAAGUUGCACACCAGGGCUGGCUUGUGAGCCAUCCAUAACAUCUGGUGAUUUGAUAAAUAUUGAUUUCAUGAGUCAGCAUCAGGACCACCUAUGGUCUGUGUAAGAAGUGCAAGAAUGCCAUCUGUGGAAUCAAACUAUAAGGUCUGAUUGCAAUAUUGCCUAGUAUGUCACCUAGCAAGGGUCCAGCAUCAUUCCUGUUUUCAAUGCAGAAGGAAAAUUUUCUUUCUAGUAAUUUUAUCUAAGCAAAAGACAGUUUUGAGCUUCCAUGGUGGCUUUUCUGUGUCCAGUUGACUUACCAUAAGAGAGGCAAUGUGACUUUGUUUCUCUGGUUCUGGAUGCCAUAUCUUGUCAUACAUCCAUCUUCUAGACUGAAUCCACCAGGUGCUCAUACAUUUCUUUGCCAACUUUGUUGGGUCCUGGAUUCCCUUCACUAUGGUCUCCAGAAGUGCACAAUGGCUUUGAUGAUUCUGCCAACUAUGCCAAAACCGUAGGGGCCAUGGGGAAGCUUCCCCCUUGCCCUAGAAAUGUUCACAGAAAAAAAAAUCAGCAAACCCUUUUCAGUGAAAAAAUCAGUGAACCAUUAUUGACUAUGCCAAAACUGUAGAGGCCAUGGAGAAGCUUCCCCCUUGCCCUAGAAAGGUUCACUGAAAAAAAAAAAAUCAGCAAAUUCUUUUCAAUGAAAAAAUUAGCGAACCAUUAUUGCCUCACAAUAAGGCUGACUAAUAAGAGAAAAGGCGUACAA